rnacentral:rRNA from 1 species
UACGUAGGUCCCGAGCGUUGUCCGGAUUUAUUGGGCGUAAAGCGAGCGCAGGUGGUUUAUUAAGUCUGAUGUGAAAGCCUUCGGCUCAACCGGAGAAUUGCAUCAGAAACUGUUGAACUUGAGUGCAGAAGAGGAGAGUGGAACUCCAUGUGUAGCGGUGGAAUGCGUAGAUAUAUGGAAGAACACCAGUGGCGAAGGCGGCUCUCUGGUCUGCAACUGACGCUGAGGCUCGAAAGCAUGGGUAGCGAACAGG